rnacentral:rRNA from 1 species
CCUACGGGAGGCAGCAGUGAGGGAUAUUGGUCAAUGGGCGCGAGCCUGAACCAGCGAAGUAGCGUGAAGGAUGACUGCCCUACGGGUUGUAAACUUCUUGUAUAAAGGAAUAAAGUGAGGCACGUGGGCCUUUUUGUAUGUACUUUAUGAAUAAGGAUAGGCUAACUCCGUGCCAGCAGCCGCGGUAAUACGGAGGAGCCGAGGGUUAUCCGGAUUGAUUGGGUUUAAAGGGAGCGUAGAUGGGUUGUUAAGUCAGUUGUGAAAGUUUGCGGCUCAACCGUAAAAUUGCAAUUGAUACUGGCAGUCUUGAGUACAGUUGAGGUAGGCGGAAUUCGUGGUGUAGCGGUGAAAUGCUUAGAUAUCACGAAGAACUCCGAUUGCGAAGGCAGCUUACUAAACUGCCACUGACAUUGAUGCUCGAAAGUGUGGGUAUCAAACAGGAUUAGAUACCCCGGUAGUC